rnacentral:lncRNA from 1 species
AGAAAAUUAAAAUAUAAUACCUAAAACAACAGAAAUAAGAAAACCUAUAUAUUAUAAGAAUAAGUUUAAAAAAUAUAAUGAAUAUGACAAAUGGAUACCAAAACAAAUAAUUAAUAAAAAUUAUAACUUUUUAGAUCUAGACUGUGUAAUAGAUACAGAAAAAACAAUACAAUUAUGGAUAGGAUAUAUGACAAAACAAUUAUUAGAU